rnacentral:rRNA from 1 species
CCCUUAGAUGUUCUGGGCCGCACGCGCGCUACACUGAUGCACUCAACGAGUCUUCGCCUUGACCGAGAGGUCUGGGAAAUCUUUGAAAUUGCAUCGUGAUGGGGAUAGAUUAUUGCAAUUAUUAAUCUUCAACGAGGAAUCCCUAGUAAGCGCAUGUCAUCAGCGUGCGUUGAUUACGUCCCUGCCCUUUGUACACACCGCCCGUCGCUCCUACCGAUUGAAUGAUCCGGUGAGGUUCUUGGACUGUGGCAACGCAGCUGGUUCGCCAGCCGUGAUGCCGUGGGAAGCUGCCCAAACCUUAUCAUUUAGAGGAAGGAGAANUCGUANCA